CUUGCUUUCUGAUUCUAUCUUUUAAAAAGCUACAGAAGCUUCAGUUCAAGGCUGUCUUAUGAGAUUCUGUCACACUGAGGGGUCUUGGCUAAGGGCAGUCCCUCUCGGCCUUCUUGGAAUUUGAAUUCAUCAUUGACUCUGAGUAAUUUCUCAUCCUUUGCAGGGUGCCACAGUCAUGAACUGCCACAAGUGGUGCCCCACGUGAAGGGCUCAAGUAUCUGGCUUUCCCUUACUUGUGUUUCAGCC
rnacentral:lncRNA from 1 species